AACCGACACAGGUGGUCAGGUAGAGAAUACCAAGGCGCUUGAGAGAAAUCGGGUGAAGGAACUAGGCAAAAUGGUGCCGUAACUUCGGGAGAAGGCACGCUGACACGUAGGUGAAGUGAUUUACUCAUGGAGCUGAAGUCAGUCGAAGAUACCAGCUGGCUGCAACUGUUUAUUAAAAACACAGCACUGUGCAAACACGAAAGUGGACGUAUACGGUGUGACGCCUGCCCGGUGCCGGAAGGUUAAUUGAUGGGG
rnacentral:rRNA from 1 species